rnacentral:rRNA from 1 species
UAUUGGACAAUGGGCGAAAGCCUGAUCCAGCAAUGCCGCGUGAGUGAUGAAGGCCUUAGGGUUGUAAAGCUCUUUUACCAGGGUAAUGAUAAUGACAGUAU